CCCUUAGAUGUCCUGGGCCGCACGCGCGCUACACUGACAUGUUCAACAAGCCUCCUAGUUCGACAGGAUUUGGGAAAUCUUUGAACGCAUGUCGUGAUAGGGAUAGAUCAUUGCAAUUAUUGAUCUUGAACGAGGAAUUCCUAGUAAACGCGAGUCAUCAGCUCGCAUUGAUUACGUUCCUGCCCUUUGUACACACCGCCCGUCGCACCUACCGAUUGAAUGUUUCGGUGAAGAUUCCGGAUAGGACUUUUUUGAUUUAUUUCAAUUUUGUCUUAAAAGCUAUCUAAACCUCAACAUUUAGAGGAAGGUGAAGUCGUAACA
rnacentral:rRNA from 1 species